rnacentral:misc_RNA from 1 species
UUUCCGUAGGUGAACCUGCGGAAGGAUCAUUAAUGAGUUGUAAUGGGGUUCGAUGCUGGCAGCCAAUUUUUGGAUGCAUGUCCUUGCCCUAACAAUCAUCUUCCAAACACCUGUGCACAUUUUUGAGUGAGUCUUGAGUUAGUUGCCGCUCUUGGGUGCUUUUCUCACAUUCCCUUAAAUCAUUAUACCCUAUUAACAAUUUUUAGCGUGCUCUGUUCCUCAAGGACAUUAAUAUAAUACAACUUUUAACAACGGAUCUCUUGGUUCUG